GCCACAUCGAGUCUUUCUACCCGGACGUCACGAAGCCGUCGGGCAGAAGGUUCCACGCGAGGCGCACACAACCCAAAAGUUUGAAGAAAGAAGAUGCGUCAUCGAGCGUGCUACCGGAAAACAGAUUGACGGGGAUCAAGAUGAGGCUUCUUUGCUCGGAUCAGAAAUGUUGAAGCUUGAAGCGGCGCGAACUGUUGAAGACAUCCAUAAGCAACAUGCUCCAGGACCCCUUCAAAGCAGUGGAGAGGCUUCCCAUUCUGUGCCGCGACGGUGGAGGGCGUGUUUGCUGCCAUCGCUGCUUGAAAUGGGAAGAAAAAUCGAAGUGCCGGCACUCGCCCUGUUGCCAGGUAAAUUACGGCGUUUCAAAUGCUCCAAGUUGAGUUUUAAUCUCCUGGCGUUUACGCUCGCUCGUCUUCAUUUGAAUCGGAAGCGAACAGGUUAACAUCAGGCUGUGUUUCAGUCAUUCACGCUGGACAGAUGGAAGAUCAAUUUCGCCAAAUCACGUUUGGAAGGCGAUUCCAGGAGUUCAGUUUAGUUAUCAAUGCAAACGGCCAACGAGGUCUUUGCAUGUCUUAGCAUUUCCCGCCGCGGGUGGCCCCGUUUGCCGCCACGCUCGUGAGCAAGCAAAUCCGUUUCUUUCGGAGCACUCUCGGCGAUGCGUGCGACAUGGAUUUCCAGAUGGCAUUUCCGCUCUCGGUCAGAUUGUGAAGUCGUCAACUUUCCUGCCCUUGACUACGGAUAAGUGACUCCCGUGCGAGGAGUUAAAAUGCAAACGAGAGUCAACGGGCGUCAAUAUUGUCGGUGGAUAGGGAAAAAGUUAGUGUCGGGUUCAAUCACGGGUUACGCUCUUGACGUGCAUUUGAUUUCCCCACUGCACACGUCUGUUUAUAAAAUUGCCAAAUAAGGCCCGACGUUAUUUUUCCAGUGAUUUAAGCAUCUCUGCCCUGCCUCCAAAUCAUAUCCCCUAUAUCCUUCUGCCCAAAUAGUGCAAGAGCAGAUGCAUUGCGCAUAUGUGCUCUCUGAACUCAUAUCCGCCAGUGCACUUAGCCAAGCAAGUGUUUCCAUAGGGAGAGAAUCAAAUGAACCAACACCAAAAACGGGAGGGAACAUUUUGGCCACGUGCGAGAAGUCGAUCCCGUUCACCGAGGAUCCUCUCCAAACAACGCAUCAAGCGCGUUCUGCUGGUUUUACAUGCACCAGAAGGCACCGAAUAAACAACAGUGCUUGUCAGUCACUCGCACAGCCUCCAUCCCGAGCACUCGAGAAUCCGAUUACCGACGCGCUGGCAUUCACUCUCAACCCACUUUUUCCCACUCAAGGAAAGCACAUAUGGCCGAUAUUUCUUGUCUGUACGUAUUUCUUCCG